CUUCUACAGGAGGACCUCAUUAACCACAGGUCCAGCACCCUCAGUUUCGUGUACCUGAGAUCAGAUGUAAUAAAGAAGAACUGAAACUGAAGGGGGGCAAAUGGAGAAGACUGUAAAAGCUGCAAUGAUGACAUAUUUUUGCAAGAAUCUGAUCUUCUAUUUUCUCACUGAAGUUACUUAUAAUGCCGGCAUGCAGAAGUCAUCUAGAGGCUAAUGGCCACUGCAUGAAAAAUGAAUGACAUUUUUUUCUACUGGUUUAAAUGGGAAUUGGAGGUGCCCCAUGUUGAGGUAACAUUUGAAGAAUGCAAACACAGAGCUCCUCACUGGCUGGCUAGCUUUAGCUCUUGUAUCACUUACACCAGAUGGGAGACGUCAACAGGCAGCUGCAUUCUCUCACCAACACCAUCUCUCACACCAUACACCCACCUCACUCCUCAAACAAUUUAGACUCUUAUUUGCAGAACCACAUUCUAGUAAUAACUUUAUUAGGAACAACCAAAAUGACACAAUAUCUUGAGCAGCUAGCUUUUGAGUUCUUAAGAACCUUUCAUCAGGCUGGAUGGGAAGAAAACCAAAGCGGGGUUGGGGGGAGCUGGGUCUGGUGACGUGGCCCCAAAAGGCCUGCAUGUUAGUCUUAGGAUGGGGUCUAGGAAAGUUAUGCAGACUCACGCUGAUCAGACUCACAAGGUGGUAGACAUGCUUUCAGGCUGUACCCACAGCUUCUAAGAUGAAAAAGAGUCAAUAAUGCCUGUACCCCCCAUUUAAAAAAACAACAACUCAUAUCUAUGAGUUUACUCUGUUCUGUCUCCAACACAUUUGAAGUGGUUGCUGAUCUUGACCCAUCCUAAAAGUCAAAUGGCCUUGGAAAGGGGAUGCAAGAAGAAAACCUUGACAGAGAAAGAGGUAAAGCAAGAAGACACAGACACCAGGGGCAAAAAAGUAUUCAAAAGCCUUCCAAUUAUUCUUCACAGAUUUUCCUAGAAGCCACAGGAGUAGUAUCAAACCUCAAAGAUGAAGAAAAUAUGACCACACAUAAAGAAGUGACUUUCCUAGACCUGUUAGGACAAAAAUUCAAAGAGUAACAAUGGGGUAAUUCCAGAAAUUCAACAGAAUUGAGAUGCGCAUUUUCAGUGCAUUCUGGGCUCCAAAUAGACUAGCAAGAUAGUUAAUUUGGUUCAUGCUUUUGUUUGGGGCUAUACCAAAUAUUUCCCGCUUUUGAUUUCUGAGUCAAAAACUAAUGUUUUCAGUGGGAUGAGAAUGUCUCCUGAUAAUACUUAAGACUGUGGAUUUUAUUAUUUUCCCCCCUG